ensembl:rRNA 5S_rRNA 5S ribosomal RNA
GCUUACGACCAACCACCUGAGUACGCCUGAUCUCGUCUGAUCUCGGAAAGCUAAGCAGGGUCGGGCCUGGUUAGUACUUGGAUGGGAGACUUCCUGGGAAUACCAGGUGCUGUAAGCU